UGUGUGUGUGUGUGUGUGUAUGUGUGUGUGUGUGUGUGUGUAAAUGUUUUAAUGUUGUGCUGAAUGUUUUUGUGUAAGCACUGAGAAGGCAUUUGGUCUCUAGCUUGAAUGCCCCUGUGAAUGCCUGCUUGGUAACAGUCAAGUGUUUCAUUUAUUCAUUUAUUUAUUUAUUUAUUUAGUUAUUAAGUUACUUACGCUCUAACUCUACUUUACAGAUUCAUAGCAAUGCACUGAUAUGGCAAAAUCGUAAAAUGUGAAAUAUAUUUCCUCUCCUAAAGGUGUUUUUGUGUGACAGAGUUCAGCAUUUUUUGUUUUUUUUUUUAUUUUACUGGGUUUCUAACCUGUGCCUUCAGUCUUUAUUCAGCACCUGAAACAGGUCUUUUAUUGAAAGUGGACCUGUUAGGUUUUUCCUUAUUUACCUUCAGGUGUGCGCUGUUACAUUGAUGGAUGGAAAAAGCUCAGGCUUCACUUGUUUGAAACCAGUUAAACACUUUGUUUCAAACAGUUUUUUCUAAGCUGGCCUCUGUGUGAUGUCAGUGAGAAGGGAUAUUCUUUAUACAGCCAUCUCAGGCGGACGGCUCUAGCUUUGAAUACUUUGUUUAAAGGGAGAGACGCUAAAAUGGCUUGUUUCAUACGGUGGAUGAACUGAGGUGCGCACAAAGGCCAGCUGUGAGAUAAACGGGGAUUAUUUUGAACUGUGAAUCAUGCAAAGCUACUCGUGUAGAGUCCAAGAAUAUGAAUAUGGAGCUGGAAAUCAGCAGAACAGGUUCUCUUUAAGAAUAAAAGCACUCCAUUAACAAAUCUUACCUCAGAAAAAUUACAAACCAGCCCAUUCAUUCCAAGAAUUGGGUAAUUAUAAGCCACUCAAAUGCUGUAAAAUGCUAAAAUCGAAUGUGGAUAAGUUACUGAUACUUUUUAAUGGCCUACUCGAUGCAGCAGAAUCUGCUUUUCUAUGUGCUUUAAACAGUACAUCAACUCUGACACAGAACAGAUUGAGUUUAAAACACUGUGGCUUACACUCAUGGAUAUAUUGGCAUGACAACUAGCUAUUUUUAUUUCUGAAUUACAGUCAUACAUGGGCCAUUUGAUGUUAUGUAAUGAGAGAAGAUGUCACUGUCUGCACAUUGUCUUACAGCAGAACUAUCUUACCGCUGGAUGUGGCUCACGCUGCUUUAAAGUGUGUCUUGUGUGUAAAUGUAAAUGUCUCUUUUUUUUUUUUUUUUUUGUUCUCAGUUUCUUGCGUUUCGCUGCCACUGUAAGGUGUAACCAGUUUGUUAGGUCAACAGGCGAAAUUGAUACAUUUUGAACGUUUCUAGGUACUAAAGGGUAGAAACACUGAUAUAUUUGUAUUUCCUGUAAGCUAGCUUAAUGACUUCCCUGUUGUUCUCACCUUGCCAUUUGAGAGUUUUCAAGAUGAAAUAAAUGGAAUUCUAAUUUUCCAAAAACAUAAACUUA